UCCAAUAACACCAGCACCAGCAACAUGACUAGCAGCAAAACUAGCAGUGGCUGAUUUAGCCAUUGCCACUUUAAUGGGCUUGUCCUGGGGUAGGAGUCGAGGGCACUGAGGAGGACGUUGCACCCCCCGCAAACUGUUGACCGAGUGAUAGUGAGAAGCGUGUCACAGUAUCCACUGUGCACUGACCCUGGGCUUGACUGCAAUCACCCAGGAAAUGAGUCUUUAACUUUGGUCAGAAAUUUAUCCGGUCAAUACCCGAUAUAUCAACACAAUGUUCGGUACAAUGGUAACAUCAAUUUACUGUCAAAUCAAUGAAAUUUCUAUCAAUCACCGGUCUAGUAAAUUAAUACCAAUUCAAUGUCAAUUAUUUCAGUGCAUUCUCCGCAUGUUAAGCAAAACAAUUCUUCUUCGAUUAAUUUAACAAACGAUUUAAUUGGUACGACUGAUCUGAGAAUUCCUUUUUUUUCCUUAAUACAUAGGAAAUUCAUCUGCAUUGUGCUCUUUGUGCAAGACAUUACAUAUUUAAAAUACUAAAAAAAAAUCCCAAAAAAUAUAAAAAAUGGUGCAAAAGUAAUAAUCAUUGUGGAUCCCUGUAAAAUCUCUUAGUGUUUGCGAUGUAAUCGUUUUUUCAAGAAUAAUUCAGUAGAUUUAUCUCGAAAUUAUUGAUUCUGGGAAAGCACGGAGAACUUUUCUUUAAGGUUGAUGGAAUGCCAGGUAAAAAAGUCCAUUAACAUUUUAUCCCAAAAUCAGUUAUUAGAUAAAUCGAUUUGAAUUGAAAAAAUGGAAUUUAGUGGAUUGUAAAUU